CUUUGGUGUGGACAUGGUUUGCAGAGUCCCAGUUCGAGCCCCAGCCAUGUAUAAAAUGGUUAAGAGGCCUCAGAAGACCAUAAGUGGCUCGCCCAAGGUCACAACAUGACCGAAUGUGUUGUGAUAGAAAAGGCCAGAAGGAACUCCGUGUGUCACCAAAGGGUACUGGUCCACGGGAGUGUGAAUGUAUUCACCGUGGGUAUGUAUGCAUGGUGGAACAGUGCACAGCCCUGAAACGUAAGGAAGAUCUCUGGAUUCCAACUGGACAGGUGUCUAAGGGACAUUUAAUCUUCCAGAAGAGCUGAACAGCUUUACGACUCACAUAAAUGAAAAGGACAAAA